AUGAUGGUAUCCAUAGUGGAACCAUACAUGAUGUUAAAAUUUCAAAAGUUUAUGCCUCGCCAGGAUCAUAUGACCGGGACGGGAGA
rfam:Thermoanaerobacterium saccharolyticum JW/SL-YS485, complete genome.